GGAUUUAUGCCUGAACACUAUAGGAUUACUUUGAUAGAGUAAAAUAUGGGGGUUAGAAUCCCCCUAAAUCCU
rnacentral:tRNA from 1 species